rnacentral:rRNA from 1 species
GACGAACGCUGGCGGCGUGCUUAACACAUGCAAGUCGUACGGUAAGGCCCUUUCGGGGGUACACGAGUGGCGAACGGGGGAGUAACACGUGAGUAACCUGCCCACAACUUUGGGAUAACGCUAGGAAAGUGGUGCUAAUACUGGAUAUGUGCUCCUGCUGCAUGGUGGGGGUUGGAAAGCUCCGGCGGGUGUGGAUGGACUCGCAGGCUAUCUGCUUGUUGGUGGGGUAGUGGCCUACCAAGGCGGCGGCGGGUAGCCGGCCUGGGGGGGUGACCGGCCACAUUGGGACCUAGAGAAGGCCCAGACUCCUACGGGAGGGAACAGGGGGGAAUAUUGCCCAAUGGGCGCAAGCCUGGUGCAGCAACGCCGCGUGCCGGAAGACGGCCUUCGGGUUGUAAACCGCUUUCAGCAGGGACGAAGCUUUUUGUGACGGUACCUGCAGAAGAAGCACCGGCUAACUACGUG